CUUGUCGCCUGGCAGGUUGUGCCGGCGGGCCUGCUCCCAGCGGAGGGUGGGCAGCGGCGCCCCCCGCUGCGCAGGUUCCCAGUCUGGCUCCCCGACGCCGCCCAUGGCUGCUUGCAAAAGUCCUCGCGAACCCGGGACCUCGCCGAGCAGAGACCCCGAGGGGAGCGAGGCAGCGAUCGGAGACUGCCUCCGCCGCCACCCGCUGCUCCGCGGCCCCGCCCUGCCGCUGCGGCCUCCGUACGAGCGUGCGCCGGCCCGGCUGUCCGCGGGCAACUUUUCCCUGCCUUAUAACCGCGCUGACAGCGCUCGCCUCACCCCCUCCCCGCGCCCCCGCCCCCCCCGCCCCCNNNNNNNNNNNNNNNNNNNNNNNNNNNNNNNNNNNNNNNNNNNNNNNNNNNNNNNNNNNNNNNNNNNNNNNNNNNNNNNNNNNNNNNNNNNNNNNNNNNNGGGAUUAGGGUCGUGGCACGGGCGGCGCCGCGGGGGGGCGGGGCCGCCGGCCGGCGUCCGCCGCGCCCUCGGGGGCCCGGUCCGCGCCCGGUGGGGCCCUGAACAAGAGUCUGCGAAGAAUGGCCUUCCCGCCGCGCCCUCUGGAAUGUUAAAUUCUGAGGUCUUAGAGGCGGAUUCUUUACCACUGAACCAUCAGGAAGCCGAUUGCUCUAAAGCCUGAACUGUGCUUUCUCCCCGGAGCUCCACCAACAGCUUUCAUUUUUCUGAGGGCCUCCGGACCUUCCAUGGCUUCUUUGGGCUUCAAACCAGGGAAUCUGGCAACUUUCCUAGAGUCGGAGGCCCUGGGGAAUCUUGAGAUUCCAUUGUCUCCAAACUCCCAUCAGGGCAGUGAGGCCUCAGGCUACUUGGAAAGAGAGAGGUACCACUUGACAUUCCUGAGCUGCCAUGGGGCUACUGUCAAGGCUUUGGGUUGAGGCAGGGGGAGGGGAAGUAUACAAAAGGCAAAGGAGGGUCUGACUGGCUGGGGCAUUUUUGGGGGGGAGGGUGGUGUCACAUGAGCCACUGCUGGGCUUCUCCAUGAGCUGCUUCACGGCCUGUUGGACACACUGAAGUCUCCAUCCCCCUGAGGAGCCACCAGUCACUGUCCUGGAGCUGAGUGCUGCUUGUGUAGGCCAGCAGGGCUCAGGCAAGUCACAGAGGGGCAGCGGUGGCCCAGUCAGGCAAAUUUCUGAGAAAAGCUGUGCGCCUCCCAGAAAGAGCAGUCACAAACCCAGCAAUUUGUUCUGCAGUGGACCCAAGUCAGAGGUUUGUAAUUUGGCUUUGCGUUAAAGCUCACCACAGGCUUCCCAUGUGGCUCAGUGGUAAGGAAUACACCUGCUAACGCAGGCACCCCAGGAGAGGUGGGUUUGAUCUCUGGGUCAGGAAAUCCCUGGAGUAGGAAAUGCCAACGGGAUUCCAGGAUUCUUGUCUGGGAAAUUCCAUGGACAGAGGAGCCUGGUGGGCUACAGUCCACGAGGCUGCAGUCAGACACGACUUGGUGACUGAACACACACACACAAGCUCACCAAGGUGAGCUUGGUUAUUAGGCCCUAGACACAAUUUCUCAGUGAAGAGUUAUCAUUCAUUGUUCAAGAGCUGUGGCCCUACAAAGCAUGAAAGACUCUGGAAGCAUCACUAUGAUGGUUCAGUAGAGCUCCUUAGAAUACACCUUAGUGAAAAAAAAAAAAAAAGGCUGUACACAAUUGGCCAAUAGGCAUAUGAAAAGAUGCUCAACAUCACUAAUCUCAGAGAAAGUGAAAGUGAAGUUGCUCAGUCGUGUCCGAUUCUUUGCUACCCCAUGGACUGUAGCCUAUCAGGCUCCUCCGUCCAUGGGAUUUUCCAGUCGAGAGUGCUGGAGUGGAUUGCCAUUUCCUUUUCCAGGGGAUCUUCCUGACCCAGGAACUGAACCCAGGUCUCCCACAUUGCAGGCAGACACUUUACCAUCUGAGCCACCAGGAAGAUCUCAGAGAAAUGCAUAUCAAAACUGCAGUGUGGUACCACCUCAUACUGGUCAGAAUGGCCAUCAUUAAAAAGUCUACAAAUAACAAUUGCCAGAGAGGGUAUAGAGAAGAGAAAAGGGAACCCUCUUAUACUGUUGGUGGAAUGUGUAGCCACUGUGGAAAACAGCGGUGGAAGUUCCUCGGAAAAAUAAAAAUAGAUUUACCAUAUGAUCCAGCAAUUCCAUUCCUGGGCAUAUGUCCAGACAAAACUAUAAUUCAAAAAGAUACAUGCACCCCUAUGUUGCUAGCAGCACCGUUCACAACAGCCAAGACAUGGAAACAAUCUGAAUGUCCGAAUAUUCCUCAGCCAUAGAAAAGAAUGAAAUGAUGCUAUUUGCAGUAACGUGAAUGCAACUAGAGAUUGUCACACUCAGUCAGAAGCACAAAUACCGAAAGACGUCGCUUACAUGUGGAAUGUGAAAUAUGGCACAAAUGAAACAGAAGCAAAGUCAGGAACAGAGAGAACAGACUGGUGACUGCCAGGGUGGGGGGCAGGGGAGACGGGAGGAAUGGGAGCUGGGGAUCAGUAGAUGCAAACUGGUAUUUACAGAAUGGAUAAACAGCAAGGGAACUAUAUUCAGUAUCCUGUGAUACAUCAUAAUGGAAAAGAAUAUGAAAAAUAUAUGCAUCAAUGAGUCACUUUGCUGUACAGCAGUAAUUAACACAAUACUGGAAUUGAACUACAAUUGAAAAAAAAGAAAGAAAACAUCACAGUGAGAUAUCACUUCGUAGCCAUUACGAUGGCUAUUAUCACAAACACCAAUGAAGCAAGUGUUGGCAAGGAUAUGGAGAUAUUGGAACCCUUGUGCCCUGCUGGUGACACUGUAAAAUGCUGCCUCUGCUAUGGAAGACAGUACGGAAGUUCCUCAAAAAAAUGAAAAAUAAGAGGGCUUCCCUGGUGGUUCAGUGGUAAAGAAUCCGAGGCAGGAGACAAGAGUUUGAUCCCUGAUUUGGGAAGAUCCCACAUGCCGUGGAGCAACUAAGCCCGUGCGCCGUAAGUACUGAGCCUGCUCUCUAAUGCCCAGGAGCCACAAGUACUGAGCCUGCACACUAACGCCCAGGAGCCACAGCUACUGAGCCUGUGUUCUAACGCCCGGGAGCCACAAGUACUGAGCCUGCGCUCUAACGCUCAGGAGCCUCAGCUACUGAGCCUGCGCUCUAACGCCCAGGAGCCACAAGUACUGAGCCUGCGCUCUAACGCACAGGAGCCACAAAUACUCAGCCUGCGCUCUAACGCCCAGGAGCCACAGCUACUCAGCCCACGCACUCUAGAACCCUGCGACAAAGAAGCCACCUCCAUGCACAGUCUGUGCACUGCAGCUAGAGAGCAGCCCCCUCUCUCUGCAACUAGAGGAAAGCCAGGGUAGCAGUGAAGACCCAGCACAGCUAAAAAUACAUAAAUCAAAAACAGAACCCCUAUAUCAUCGAGCAGUCCCACCUCUGGGUAAAUGUCCAAAGGAAGUG
ensembl:lincRNA